GUCACUGUUGUUAGCAUGAAGCCAUCAUACAUGUACCCAAUUAUUGGUCCACGUUGAAUAUGCCUCUUCCUGCCCGCGGUGCCCAGUGUUUUCAUCUUUCCCAGCAUCAUUGUCUUGGAAUUCUGCCGACAUUUCUGAGCUAUUUCCACUGUGUCUUUCAAGUCACACAAUGCAGCGACGAGGAGAGGGGAAACCGGCUGUGAAUUUUGAAGAUUGGAAAAUUGGGUCUGUGCCAGAAGGUAUGAGCCUGCUUCCCCCUCUGCUCAUCUGUGGGCUCCGAUCCCUGGAGGACCGGAAAGACAGGGCUGGAAAACAAAACAAAACCACGAGAGGAAUCUUGUGGGCAGAAGAAGCAGAGGAACACGCUCACUUUUAGAGUAUGAGAUGGGAAUUCUCUCCGACAGCAGAUCCCCGAACAUCUACGACACGUGGAAUGGGAGAGGAGAGAGUGAGUUAGUCCUGGAGAAUCCUGGAGAAGCUCACCAACAAGAUCUUAGCUUUUAUUUGUUUGUUUGUUUUCCUGCUCUGCUAAGAGAGAACUUACCACCUCUGCCGCAGACAACUAGCGUGUCCUAGCCUCCAAGUGUAAAGACUGGACCAGCCAGGACCCUCUGCUGGGCCAUUGUAAAUGGAGCAGAGAGCAGGAGGUGAGCAGCUCAGCUCAAAGUUCUAAAGGCAACGGCUAAGGAACAGUGAGCGAUGUCUGUAUCUCGGGUACUCUUCUGGUUCUGAGGAAAGGCAGAAGUAUCAGAAGGCAGUUCACCCAGUGUUUUCAGUCCAGAUCUCAUUAACUACCACCUUUGAGCUGGAGCAAUCACGACGAGCCUUGAAGAGUGAGAGGAGCUGGCCAGCAAGUUUUUAAAUAAAUGUAUUGCUGUAAAACUUCUUUGUAACACAGCUUCAUGCAAUUCCCAGGCUACCAAGUGAAGAGCAGCCACCUCCACCGUGCACCUUGGCAUGAGACUCUGCCUCCUCACGUUCCCUAGAGCAAGGGACCCUUUGGAUCAUGAGCCCAAACUCUCCGUCCUCCCUAAAUUGAUUUGUCUCAUGACCAGCAGUGAGAUGCUCUGGUUUUCACCGCUUCUUCUGACUCGAGGGAUUUAAUGUUUUUCCGAAAGCAGUGCAGGAGUUGUUACUGUGGACAGACACACGGACGAAAGUGGAGCUGUGCAAAGCGUGUGUGACUGUGGUCUCUGAUGGUGAACUCUAGAGUGUUGCUCCGCUGUGUGGGGGAAAAGAGAACAGGGGAAUAACAGUUGCCGCCCCCCGCAGUUGUAAAGGCUGCUGCAAACCCCGCUCAAAUUGUUCAUCCCAUCCCAGGGCAGUUUGGAAUGACAGCGAAAGCAGAACUGAUGCUUGAUUUUCCACGUGGGGAAGGAAGAAAGGAAAACGGGGCUGGCAGUUCGGAUUUGAAUCCUGGUCCUCCACAGGUGGGCAGUGAGUCGAUCACUCAGCUGCCACGCUGGCAUCAGUUUCUCAAUGAACUGAAGGGACUCUAAGGCUGUGCUGGACUACAGCAUCUUUAUGUCCAAGACCCCCGUUAAAGCAGAAUGUGGACAUGAUCUACCACAGAAAUUAUCCAUAUUGUCUAUCGCAUGUGUUUUGGAGAAACGUGGAAGACUUUGGAACUUUGGAUUAGAAAAGCAAUUGCAUGCUGCAAGCAGAUCUUAAAAGACCAUUCUAGUAGAAGCCUGGGAGACAAUAGUACU